rnacentral:lncRNA from 1 species
CUGGCUUGCUAGUGCAGCUCCCGCUUCCUGGUGCAGUGGUGAUGUGAUGGCAAGCUCUCUCUGAGACAAAAGCACGUGACUCUGAAUGGGGUGGAAGAAGCUGAUGAAGUUUGCCAGAAACAAGCACCAGUUUGCGUGUGGGGGUGUCACUGUCCAAAGAUUUGCUAGGAGAAGAAUAUGGCUCUUCCCUCCAAUCCCCAAACUAGACCUUGGACCAUCUCUCCACUGGACCACCAGCUACAAUGUCAACAGCUCCACAACUUGCAAGUCUUGCCAAAGUGUUUUAAAGGAUGAUUUAUUAAAGGAAAAUCUAAAUUAGCAAUUGGAUAUAUUCCACUAUAGGAACUUAAGACCACUCAUUAAUUCUACAACGACUUUCUGAGCACCUACCAGUGGGCCAGGCUGGGGAAAC